GACGAACGCUGGCGGCGUGCUUAACACAUGCAAGUCGAGCGGAAAGGCCCUUCGGGGUACUCGAGCGGCGAACGGGUGAGUAACACGUGAGUAACCUGCCCUUGGCUCUGGGAUAGCUCCGGGAAACCGGAAUUAAUACCGGAUAUGACCUCGGCCGACAUCGGCUGUGGUGGAAAGAUUUAUCGGCCAGGGAUGGGCUCGCGGCCUAUCAGCUAGUUGGUGGGGUAACGGCCUACCAAGGCGACGACGGGUAGCCGGCCUGAGAGGGCGACCGGCCACACUGGGACUGAGACACUGCCCAGACUCCUACGGGAGGCUGCAGUCGCGAAUCAUUCACAAUGGGCGCAAGCCUGAUGAUGCCACGCCGCGUGCGGGAUGAAGGCCCUUUGGGUUGUAAACCGCUGUCAAGGAAGGGGAAGUCGCCGUACGUGAAUAGCGUGCGGUCUGACUGCUUUC
rnacentral:rRNA from 1 species